rnacentral:rRNA from 1 species
AUUCCAGCUCCAAUAGUGUAUCUUAAUGUUGUUGCAGUUAAAAAGCUCGUAGUUGAAUUUCUGGCAAUACAGCUGAUCUUUUCGAGAAGCACGUAUAUGUCAUCCGCAUUGGAAGCACAUUCGAUAGCAAUAUCAGUGUGUGGAAGGUGCAUUUUACUUUGAAGAAAUUAGAGUGUUCCAGGCAGGCUAUGUUUGAAUAUUACAGCAUGGAAUAAUGGAAUAGGACAAGUUCAUUUUAUUGGUUAUUGAAUUUGUAAUGAUUAACAGGGACAGUUGGGGGCAUUCGUAUUGGAUAGUCAGAGGUGAAAUUCUUAGAUUUAUUCAAGACGCACUAAAGCGAAGGCAUUUGCCAAGGAUGUUUUCAUCA